rnacentral:rRNA from 1 species
ACACUCCUGCGGGAGGCAGCAGUGGGGAAUUUUGGACAAUGGGCGAAAGCCUGAUCCAGCAAUGCCGCGUGAGUGAAGAAGGCCUUCGGGUUGUAAAGCUCUUUUGUCAGGGAAGAAACGGUGAGAGCUAAUAUCUCUUGCUAAUGACGGUACCUGAAGAAUAAGCACCGGCUAACUACGUGCCAGCAGCCGCGGUAAUACGUAGGGUGCAAGCGUUAAUCGGAAUUACUGGGCGUAAAGCGUGCGCAGGCGGUUCUGUAAGUCUGAUGUGAAAUCCCCGGGCUCAACCUGGGAAUUGCAUUGGAGACUGCAAGGCUAGAAUCUGGCAGAGGGGGGUAGAAUUCCACGUGUAGCAGUGAAAUGCGUAGAUAUGUGGAGGAACACCGAUGGCGAAGGCAGCCCCCUGGGUCAAGAUUGACGCUCAUGCACGAAAGCGUGGGGAGCAAACAGGAUUAGAAACCCCAGUAGUCCCAUG